rnacentral:tRNA from 1 species
GUGAGUAAGUAACUUAUCCCUUGGUAAGGGAGAGGCCGAGAGUUCAAAUCUCUCUAGCAGCACCA